UAAGCCCUGAACUGGGAGUCUGAGCCUUUGGAUUCCACUUCUGGCCGUGCCCCAGACUAAAUCUUUAAGUUCAGCUCUACGUGGCCAUGGUUCAGUGCUGCUGGCAUAAUGAUGGUUCUAGGGGCAGGUGUUUAUAACACAGCCACCACAUGCCAGGCACUGCUGAGAUCACCUCCCACAACGAUGAAGAAACAAAAACUGGACAGGCUGCCGAAGGGGACUCAGAGGGUAGCUGAGCUGGCUGGGGGCAGGUCUGCUGGCUCUCAAGGUGGUAGCAGAGGAGGUUCAAACACCUGUGCUUCACCGAGUCCAGCGCUCUUCCAGCGAACCCUGGGUGCCAUGGAAAGGAAAAAAGAGUCUGAGAAAAAGCCUGAGAAAUGAAUGUGAUUUCCUCGUGGCGCUGGAUGUGGGUGACUGACCUUCUGCAAGGAACAUAACCUCUGUGAGACUCAGCUUCCUUACCUGGAAAAUGGGCAAAAUAAUGGCACUCAGCUCACCGGAUGGCUGUGAGGUGAAUGAGACGAUGUAUACGAAGCAACUGGCUCAGAAGGUUCCAGAAACUGGCAGCUACAGCUAUUGUUCUUCAAGAGUCCCUCCACUGGGAUUCUGGUGAUUCAGGGGCAUGAAGCACAGGAAAUAAAAAAGCAGAAUUUGGCAAGGGACCUCAUGUUUCAAGAAGGUUCCUCCAGGGCUAUUGUGGGGAGCCCCCACACCCCAGAUCCUGCCUGUCAUUCAGUCUCAGUGCUGUUUUGCCAUUGAAACGCCUACCAGUGUCACAUGCACAAAUGUCAAAUGGUAAGUUCAAUGCAGAGAGGGGUGGGUUGCUC